AGCCCUGGUCUUCCCGCUCCUCCGAUCUCCCACGCGAAUCGCCGCCAUGAGCUAACUCCCCACCCCCGGGCAGACCCGGGAGAGCUUUGAUUACCUGGGGUCUUCUGCUUCCUCCCAGACGUCAGCUCCGCUUCAGGAAUCGACUGAGACUUUGGCUCAGAGUUUGGUUCCAUUCUUGGACACGGAUUCAGCUGGAGAGCUGCCCCGGGGCCAGAGCAGUUCGCUGCUGCACACUGGGAUCUGAAUGACAAGCUGACUCGGCACAGAAGUCUCCCAGAGGUGGUUGCAAUGCUAGACUGGGAUCAGAACCAGGCCCUAGCUCGGCCUCUUUGCCUCAAAAGUAAGUUUCUAACUGUAGAUCUAGAUCAGGCUGCAGAUCAUCAGGCAUAUGAAAUACUUGUUCCACCUCUAGAUAGAAAUCAAAAGCAAGGAACUUUACUGUUUCGCCCAAGAACCGGAAGAAAGAUCUAGCUCAGCAUCAAAGGCUUGCCAAGGUUGUUGUUGGAACUCCAUACCGAUUUGUAUCAAAACCUCAGCGUCAGAAACAAACUCUGCAGAAUGGGUAUUUAGAUUCAAGUAUGGAUAUACUGUAUCUGGGCAGCCUGCCUCCAGAACUCCAGGUGAGCUCAGAUGAGCCUCCAGGGCCUCCUGAGCAAGCUGGACUUUCUCAGUUCCAUCUAGAGCCUGAAACUCAAAAUCCAGAAACCACUGAAGAGAUCCAGUCCUCUACUCCAGCAAGAAGCUGCAGCGCAGCUUCCACAGCUCCCUGAGGUGGUAGAACUUUCUUCAACCAAAGCUGGAGGCCCCAGCUCUGCCUUCACAGUCCCUUGAGGGGGUCCACUCUUCAACAGAGCAGAAGGCUCCAGCACAGCAGCUACCUGCCUUUGAAGAGAUCCUAGCCCCACUAUUGAUACAUCAUGAGGAGCAGCAUGAAGCCUGGUUUCCAGUAGAAAGGUGCAAAAA
ensembl:lncRNA novel transcript